rnacentral:rRNA from 1 species
GACGAACGCUGGCGGCGUGCCUAAUACAUGCAAGUUGAGCGCUGAAGGUUGGUACUUGUACCAACUGGAUGAGCAGCGAACGGGUGAGUAACGCGUGGGGAAUCUGCCUUUGAGCGGGGGACAACAUUUGGAGACGAAUGCUAAUACCGCAUAAAAACUUUAAACACAAGUUUUAAGUUUGAAAGAUGCAAUUGCAUCACUCAAAGAUGAUCCCGCGUUGUAUUAGCUAGUUGGUGAGGUAAAGGCACACCAAGGCGAUGAUACAUAGCCGACCUGAGAGGGUGAUCGGCAACAUUGGGACUGAGACACGGCCCAAACGCCUACGGGAGGCAGCAGUAGGGAAUCUUCGGCAAUGGACGAAAGUCUGACCGAGCAACGCCGCGUGAGGGAAGAAGGGUUUCGGAUCGUAAAACUCGGUUGGUAGAGAAGAACGUUGGUGAGAGUGGAAAGCUCAUCAAGUGACGGUAACUACACAGAAAGGGACGGCUAACUACGUG